AUAUGUACACUAGUUUUAGCAUUGAUUACUAUACAUAGAACUGAAAGAAUAUGAAAUGUUCAGUUUAGUUCUUUACUCAAUCUUCUGCUUGACGAAACCAUGCUAUUCGUUUUUGUAGAGGACAAGAUGAAGUGAAGUUCAAUGUGAGGUCAAGAAGUCCAGGUCCUGCGUCAAGAGGACCUACCAGCCCUACUUCGCCUCUUCAUCCAAACGCAUCAAGAGGACCCACUAGCCCUACAUCACCUCUUCAUCCAGCCGCGUCAAGAGGUCCCACUAGCCCCACAUCACCUCUUCAUCCAAAUGCGACGAGAGGACCGACCAGCCCUACAUCACCUCUUCAUCCAAAUGCGACGAGAGGACCGACUAGCCCUACAUCACCUCUUCAUCCAAAUGCGACGAGAGGACCUACUAGCCCUACAUCACCUCUUCAUCCAAGGUUGCAGGGUUUGAAUCUUGAUUCACCUACGGGAAAGCAAGACGACGGAAGGAGUCAAUGUCACCCAUUGCCUCUUCCACCAGGAUCUCCAACUAGUCCUUCUUCCGCUCUUUCCAACACACGGUCACCGUUCGAAAACAGUAGCCCUAACCUCUCCAAGUGGAAGAAAGGAAAGCUUCUUGGCCGGGGAACAUUUGGGCAUG
rnacentral:lncRNA from 1 species